rnacentral:rRNA from 1 species
AGUGAACGCUGGCGGUAGGCCUAACACAUGCAAGUCGAACGGCAGCACAGUAAGAGCUUGCUCUUACGGGUGGCGAGUGGCGGACGAGUGAGGAAUACAUCGGAAUCUACUUUUUCGUGGGGGAUAACGUAGGGAAACUUACGCUAAUACCGCAUACGACCUACGGGUGAAAGCAGGGGAUCUUCGGACCUUGCGCGAUUGAAUGAGCCGAUGUCGGAUUAGCUAGUUGGCGGGGUAAAGGCCCACCAAGGCGACGAUCCGUAGCUGGUCUGAGAGGAUGAUCAGCCACACUGGAACUGAGACACGGUCCAGACUCCUACGGGAGGCAGCAGUGGGGAAUAUUGGACAAUGGGCGCAAGCCUGAUCCAGCCAUACCGCGUGGGUGAAGAAGGCCUUCGGGUUGUAAAGCCCUUUUGUUGGGAAAGAAAAGCAGCAGGUUAAUACCCCGCUGUUCGGACGGUACCCAAAGAAUAAGCACCGGCUAACUUCGU